rnacentral:rRNA from 1 species
CCUACGGGAGGCAGCAGUGAGGAAUAUUGGUCAAUGGACGAGAGUCUGAACCAGCCAAGUAGCGUGAAGGAUGACUGCCCUAUGGGUUGUAAACUUCUUUUAUAUGGGAAUAAAACGUUCCACGUGUGGGAUUUUGUAUGUACCAUAUGAAUAAGGAUCGGCUAACUCCGUGCCAGCAGCCGCGGUAAUACGGAGGAUCCGAGCGUUAUCCGGAUUUAUUGGGUUUAAAGGGAGCGUAGGUGGAUUGUUAAGUCAGUUGUGAAAGUUUGCGGCUCAACCGUAAAAUUGCAGUUGAAACUGGCAGUCUUGAGUACAGUAGAGGUGGGCGGAAUUCGGGGUGUAGCGGUGAAAUGCUUAGAUAGCACGAAGAACUCCGAUUGCGAAGGCAGUUCACUGGACUGCAACUGACACUGAGGCUCGAAAGUGUGGGUAUCAAACAGGAUUAGAUACCCCUGUAGUC